UUCAUCUCCUACGGCUACCUCUUCAUUUCUUCAAUGAUUAUCAUACGUGUUCUUUUUGACCCUUGGUAAAUCCUUUUUUCUCAUCUCAUUGUUGUUAAUGUUGGUUUUUAUUGAAGUGGUCUCUGGGGGUUUCUUUUCCCUUGGAUUAUAGGUCAUCUCAUUAUUAUUGUCGGAGUAGGUUACCUUCCUGUUGAGAGGUAUAGAAACAUCCUUAUU
rnacentral:lncRNA from 1 species